UUUCUUCUCUAACGGCAACUCUCCCUCUCCUCUCCCCUUCUCUCUCGCUCUCGUAUUCUUCGUCUCUUGCUAGAAACCCAUCUCCUAUUCUUCGUUUUUCACUGUGCAGCCCAAAUAACCCUAUCUUGCCAGAUACCCAUCUCGUCGAUUUACGGCCAUCUUCUUCUCCUAGCCCUAACGGCCAGAAUCAAGGGCGAAGACCCCUCAAAAACCCAAGUCUUCCAAAAAAAAUACUCCACCGUCAAAUCCCAACUCCCUGCAUGGCUUUCGAUUCAAAACUCUCGCCGGCUAAGUUGAAGCGGGCCGCUCAGUAUGGAGCCCGUUCCUGAGAAUUCCAUCCUUGGGUUGUCUAAUUAUGGUGUAAAGAUGCUUACGCUUGAUUUGAUUUGGAGGUGGAGGUGGAGGAAGAUGGAGGAAGUGGAGCAUGUGAUGUUCUUGAAGUUUGUUGAACGCCAACCUUUGAUUUAGGGAAGCGGAGCACGCGAUCUUCUUCAAAUUGGUUGAAUGUCUACGCAUGAAGCGAAUGUCUACGCAUGAAGCGGACGCGAUGUUCUUCAAAUUGGUUGAAUGUCUACGCAUGAUUUGAAGAAGCAAAACACAUCAUGAAGAAGCAAAACACGUGAUGUUCUUGAAGCUGGAGUCUUGGAAUAAAGUUUGUAUCUUCAAAGGAGCUUCAAUCUUCGAGGGAAGUUGGAGUCUUGGAAUAAAUCUUGUAUCUUUAAAGGAGCUCCAAUCUUUGAGGAUGAUUUGAGGAUGAUCGACUGCAGUAGUUAGGAAGUUUUCUUAUGGAAUCAAAAAUUUGGAGCCUUUUACAAAUGAGGAGAGCUCUCUAUUUAUGAAGGGAUAAUUGCAAAUUUAGUAAAAA